rnacentral:rRNA from 1 species
GGUUAAGCGACUAAGCGUACACGGUGGAUGCCCUGGCAGUCAGAGGCGAUGAAGGACGUGCUAAUCUGCGAAAAGCGUCGGUAAGGUGAUAUGAACCGUUAUAGCCGGCGAUGUCCGAAUGGGGAAACCCAGUGCAAUUCGUUGCACUAUCGUUAACUGAAUACAUAGGUUAACGAGGCGAACCGGGGGAACUGAAACAUCUAAGUACCCCGAGGAAAAGAAAUCAACCGAGAUUCCCCCAGUAGCGGCGAGCGAACGGGGAGCAGCCCAGAGUCUGAAUCAGCUUGUGUGUUAGUGGAACGGUCUGGAAAGUCCGACGGUACAGGGUGAUAGUCCCGUACACCAAAAUGCACAGGCUGUGAACUCGAAGAGUAGGGCGGGACACGUGGUAUCCUGUCUGAAUAUGGGGGGACCAUCCUCCAAGGCUAAAUACUCCUGACUGACCGAUAGUGAACCAGUACCGUGAGGGAAAGGCGAAAAGAACCCCGGCGAGGGGAGUGAAAAAGAACCUGAAACCGUGUACGUACAAGCAGUGGGAGCACCUUCGGGUGUGACUGCGUACCUUUUGUAUAAUGGGUCAGCGACUUAUAUUCUGUAGCAAGGUUAACCGUAUAGGGGAGCCGCAGGGAAACCGAGUCUUAACUGGGCGUUAAGUUGCAGGGUAUAGACCCGAAACCCGGUGAUCUAGCCAUGGGCAGGUUGAAGGUUGGGUAACACUAACUGGAGGACCGAACCGACUAAUGUUGAAAAAUUAGCGGAUGACUUGUGGCUGGGGGUGAAAGGCCAAUCAAACCGGGAGAUAGCUGGUUCUCCCCGAAAGCUAUUUAGGUAGCGCCUCGUGAACUCAUCUUCGGGGGUAGAGCACUGUUUCGGCUAGGGGGUCAUCCCGACUUACCAACCCGAUGCAAACUACGAAUACCGAAGAAUGUUAUCACGGGAGACACACGGCGGGUGCUAACGUCCGUCGUGAAGAGGGAAACAACCCAGACCGCCAGCUAAGGUCCCAAAGUCAUGGUUAAGUGGGAAACGAUGUGGGAAGGCACAGACAGCCAGGAUGUUGGCUUAGAAGCAGCCAUCAUUUAAAGAAAGCGUAAUAGCUCACUGGUCGAGUCGGCCUGCGCGGAAGAUGUAACGGGGCUAAACCAUGCACCGAAGCUGCGGCAGCGACACGAUGUGUUGUUGGGUAGGGGAGCGUUCUGUAAGCCUGCGAAGGUGUGCUGUGAGGCAUGCUGGAGGUAUCAGAAGUGCGAAUGCUGACAUAAGUAACGAUAAAGCGGGUGAAAAGCCCGCUCGCCGGAAGACCAAGGGUUCCUGUCCAACGUUAAUCGGGGCAGGGUGAGUCGACCCCUAAGGCGAGGCCGAAAGGCGUAGUCGAUGGGAAACAGGUUAAUAUUCCUGUACUUGGUGUUACUGCGAAGGGGGGACGGAGAAGGCUAUGUUAGCCGGGCGACGGUUGUCCCGGUUUAAGCAUGUAGGCUGGUUGUCCAGGCAAAUCCGGAUAAUCAAGGCUGAGGUGUGAUGACGAGGCACUACGGUGCUGAAGUAACAAAUGCCCUGCUUCCAGGAAAAGCCUCUAAGCAUCAGGUAACAUUAAAUCGUACCCCAAACCGACACAGGUGGUCAGGUAGAGAAUACCAAGGCGCUUGAGAGAACUCGGGUGAAGGAACUAGGCAAAAUGGUGCCGUAACUUCGGGAGAAGGCACGCUGGUGUGUAGGUGAAGCCCCUGCGGGUGGAGCUGAGACCAGUCGAAGAUACCAGCUGGCUGCAACUGUUUAUUAAAAACACAGCACUGUGCAAACACGAAAGUGGACGUAUACGGUGUGACGCCUGCCCGGUGCCGGAAGGUUAAUUGAUGGGGUUAUCCGUAAGGAGAAGCUCUUGAUCGAAGCCCCGGUAAACGGCGGCCGUAACUAUAACGGUCCUAAGGUAGCGAAAUUCCUUGUCGGGUAAGUUCCGACCUGCACGAAUGGCGUAAUGAUGGCCAGGCUGUCUCCACCCGAGACUCAGUGAAAUUGAACUCGCUGUGAAGAUGCAGUGUACCCGCGGCAAGACGGAAAGACCCCGUGAACCUUUACUAUAGCUUGACACUGAACAUUGAGCCUUGAUGUGUAGGAUAGGUGGGAGGCUUUGAAGCGUGGACGCCAGUCUGCGUGGAGCCAACCUUGAAAUACCACCCUUUAAUGUUUGAUGUUCUAACGUUGGCCCCUGACCGGGGUUGCGGACAGUGUCUGGUGGGUAGUUUGACUGGGGCGGUCUCCUCCCAAAGCGUAACGGAGGAGCACGAAGGUUAGCUAAUCCUGGUCGGACAUCAGGAGGUUAGUGCAAUGGCAUAAGCUAGCUUGACUGCGAGCGUGACGGCGCGAGCAGGUGCGAAAGCAGGUCAUAGUGAUCCGGUGGUUCUGAAUGGAAGGGCCAUCGCUCAACGGAUAAAAGGUACUCCGGGGAUAACAGGCUGAUACCGCCCAAGAGUUCAUAUCGACGGCGGUGUUUGGCACCUCGAUGUCGGCUCAUCACAUCCUGGGGCUGAAGUAGGUCCCAAGGGUAUGGCUGUUCGCCAUUUAAAGUGGUACGCGAGCUGGGUUUAGAACGUCGUGAGACAGUUCGGUCCCUAUCUGCCGUGGGCGCUGGAGAAUUGAGGGGGGCUGCUCCUAGUACGAGAGGACCGGAGUGGACGCAUCACUGGUGUUCGGGUUGUCAUGCCAAUGGCACUGCCCGGUAGCUAAAUGCGGAAGAGAUAAGUGCUGAAAGCAUCUAAGCACGAAACUUGCCCCGAGAUGAGUUCUCCCUGAGACUUUAAGUCUCCUGAAGGAACGUUGAAGACGACGACGUUGAUAGGCCGGGUGUGUAAGCGCAGCGAUGCGUUGAGCUAACCGGUACUAAUGAACCGUGAGGCUUAACCUU